UGUUAAAAAUUUCAUCCAUUUUUACUGUUAAAAUUGGCAGGACAAUAGAACAACCAAAUAGUUACACAUGACAUGCCACAUUUACCUCAUUCUGACAUACGUGGAUUAGUUUUUAGUAGUAAAAAUAGAUAAAACUUUUAACA
rfam:Gossypium raimondii Chr01_contig_231, whole genome shotgun sequence.